CUGAAGAGUCCCAAAUAGGACGAAACGCGCGUC
rnacentral:hammerhead_ribozyme from 1 species